ACACAGGAUUGGAUGGGGCCAACGCCACUGUGUAGCACAGGCGCAGUGCAGUGCCUACUCUCCUGAGUGCUAUGGGCCAAAACAUCUUGAGUAAUGGUGUUUGCAGAGAUGCACCACUGUGCCUGACUUUGCAGAAGUAUUAUAUAUUUCUUGCUCUAAUAUCUACAUUUUUCCAGUUGGAAUAAAAGAUGCAGGUCCAUAGACCUGAAAUCUAAGGAACUGGUCACAGGGAAAGCCAGCCAAUACACCAGAGAGCACUCAAUUUUAACUACUAGACCACCAGAAGAGUAACCAACUGAUCCAAAAAGAAGAUAUGUGGUGUGAAGCACAGACAGAAUCUAAUGUCCAAACAAGCUGAUUCCAACAAGAUCACAGCCAUUCUCCAGGGAGCACUGGAAAGCACUGUAUUAAGAGGAGGCUUGAGUUUCAUUUGUUGAAGAGGAUUGAAUCAUAGAACUGUGGCAACUGAGGAAUGCUGUGAGCAGGAGAAAUGGUUUGCCCCAAGAGAAGGAAGAAGAGAAAGAUGAAGAGGAGGAGGACAAGUAGGCUUGGGGACCGCUGGUGGUAAAUAGAGGGCAGUUUGCAUUCCCUGGCCCAGGCUUCCAUCAUUGAACCUCAGCUUGUAUUGCCAAGGCUCCCUUUGACACUGACCCACCUGAAUCACUGUUUUAAAGACUACUGUCAUUCCCUGAGCCCACCCAGCAUGAGACGGUCCACCCCAUUCUUGCAGACACAGCGAAAGUCGACAACUGUAUAAUCCAGUCCAGCCUGAAACUCAUAGCAAUCAUUCUUCCUCAGUUUUGAAGUAUUUGAAUUAUAGGCCCAUAUCACUAUACACUGCCUUCAUAGCAAUACUAAUCUCAUCCCAGAGAUUCCAUCGUCAUGGCCUGAUCUAAAAUUAUUUUACCUUCAACAAACCUCAGCUCACAAUACUAUCCCGUUGGAGGCUAAAAUAUCACCAUAUGGAUUUAGGGGUGGGGGAAAAAAACCUCAUCCAAAAUUGUAGUUUUCUGUUGACAAAAGAAGAAAUAUAAUCUGGCCUGAAUUAAAGCAUUUUAAUAAUUG
rnacentral:lncRNA from 1 species